GAAAGACCAUGGGACCCCAAGCCAAGCUGUCCACCUCUGCAUUUAAGGAACCUAACUGGGACUUCCCACAAGGAGACUAGGGAAGAGAGAACAGAGAACAGAGAGAGAACCCUGGAGAACAGAGGAGCCUGAAGAGCUACAGUCCAUGAGGUUGCAAAGAGUUGGACAUGACUUCGAGACUGAGCAACAACAGCAGCCCUGUUCUACUGGGGAAAUGGGAUCAUACUAUAAAUCCUGUCUUGCUGAAUCACCCAUGCCAGACGAGCAGCCUGGGUAUCACCCUGAGUUGGUCAGAAAUACACAAUCUCAUGCUUCACUCAUGACCUGCUAGAUCACAACCUGCAUUUAACAAGAAUCAAGAGCCCCGGAGAUUCCUGUGCACAGGAAUCUCAUCAGAGCUGGAGAAGCUCUAAUAUAUAUUAUUAUAUGCAACUUGUUUUUUUUUUAGCAACAGUAAGUCUUUGAGGUCUCUCAGUGUAAUAACAGAUUGGUCAAGUUCCUUGUUCGCAGAUGCAUAAUUUCCCACUGUUUAGUAGUGCUUUGGUUUUGUUCUCGGGUUCGGUGAAAAUGAUUGUGCCAGGCUUGAAGAAUGGAUGGAUAAAAUGCCACUUGGGGGUGUGUGUGUGGAGAAGGGUUGAUGUUCUGGGCAGAGGAAUCAGCAUAAGCAAAGGCAUGGAAUCAGAAAGGAAAUGAACCUGAUAUCUACACUGGCCUCAUUCCCAUGGGGCUUCCCAGGUGGCUCAGUGGUAAGGAAACCUCCUGCCAAUGCAGAAGAUGCAGGAGACAAAGGUUCAAUCCCUGGGUCAGAAGAUGCCCUGGAGGAGGAAAUGGCAACCCACUCCAGGAUUCUUGCCUGGGAAAUCCCAUGGACAGAGGAACCUGGCAGAGCUACAGUCCAUGAGGUCAGAAAGAGUCGGACAUGACAGCGACUGAGAGCACGCACACACACACACACACACACACACACACACAUUCCCACAGGGCUUGGUGAGGACCAAAGGAGGGAUGCUGCAGAUGGUUCUCCCAGGUGCUGAGAAGCUGGGAGUCCCGAAGGCCAAUGAGUUAAAUGAGAGAAGUGGCUUUGACCCUCUAUUUUGAGCCCUAACGAGGGAGAAUUCUCUCUGGAGCCCUUGAAGCUGUAACCACCACUGUACUGGCAGAUCAGCAACAGGAACACUCAUUGGACAUUUCUCCCUGGGCCAGAUUACUGGGCUGAGAGAGUCAACCCUCAGGACGGGGGAGGAGUUCCUAUUAGUUCUCCUUGACAGAUGAAGCAACUGAGGCGCAAAGAAGAAUGUGGCUGAGGGCACAAAGCCAGAAAAUGAUGGAGUGAAGAUGUGAAUGGAGCUUGGUGAGACUCUGGGCUUCCAUGUUUAUAGCCUAUACUGCACCAGCUGUUGUAAUCUGCAUGCUUUUAAUGCACAUGAAAUGAAAUGCUAGUCCCUUCUGAUGGGGU
ensembl:lncRNA